ACCUACGGGUGGCAGCAGUGGGGGAUAUUGCACAAUGGGGGAAACCCUGAUGCAGCGACGCCGCGUGAGUGAAGAAGUAUUUCGGUACGUAAAGCUCUAUCAGCAGGGAAGAAUAAUGACGGUACCUGACUAAGAAGCCCCGGCUAACUACGUGCCAGCAGCCGCGGUAAUACGUAGGGGGCAAGCGUUAUCCGGAUUUACUGGGUGUAAAGGGAGCGUAGACGGCUGUGCAAGUCUGAAGUGAAAGGCCGGGGCUCAACCGCGGGACUGCUUUGGAAACUGUUAAGCUGGAGUGCAGGAGAGGG
rnacentral:rRNA from 1 species